GCACCUAUGGCAGAGUGGUCCAUUGCACCGGACUCAUAAUCCGUUUAGCCGUUGGUUCAAAUCCAACUAGGUGCA
rnacentral:tRNA from 1 species